rnacentral:lncRNA from 1 species
UUAGGGAUGCAUCAGAGGAGUGAUGUAAUCGGCUGUAUGGUAUAAGAAGAUAAGCACUUCCUGUAGGAUAAAUCAGAGGACACCAAGACUGGAAGGAGGAAGUGUUAAUCCACUGUUUCCGACUCUAACAGAAAACGUGUUAAGGUGAAGUUGGCGGGAGAUAGAUGAAGAUGUAUCGACAAAGAAAAUGGUGGCGAUGACUAAACGGAGUUGGAGGCAGGGGGCCAGUGCAUACGAUCACUCGGUCAUCUGAAGAAUCGGAGGAUGAGGCUGUCACAGUGAGGCAAGGGGAUGGGAGAAGAGAGUGAUGUCUCUGUCUCUUGGGCUCUCUUGGGCUGAGCAUGAUCUGGAAGGAAGUCCAACCCUUUGCUACCAGCUCUGGGAAACGUCUGAAAAGCAAGAGCCUCUGUAGAAAGCACCUCUUUAGUUUAUGGAGAUGUUGCUGAGCUGGCCUUGAAAUGGGCACAUGAUGCCAUCCCAGCCGAUGAAAUGUGAGGACAUUAUGUUUGAGGAUGUAAGCUUGAAGCUGCUUUGGAAUAUCAGAAACUAGCCUAAGGACAAACACCAACAUUCUGAAGACGGCAGAGCAAAAGAUGGAAAGAAGAUUAGCCCUGAGCUAACGUCCGUCACCAAUCCUCUUCUUUUUGCUGAGGAAGACUGGGCCUGAGCUAACAUCCAUGCCCAUCUUCCUCUACUCCAUAUGUGGGUUGCCUACCACAGCAUGGUUUUUGCCAAGCAGUGCCGUGUCCGCACCUGGGAUCCAAACCGGUGAACCCCGGGCCACCAAGAAGCGGAACGUGGGAACCUAACUGCUACGCCACCAGGCCGGCCCCCUACAAUAAUCUUGAUACAGAAGUACUGGGCCUGCAAUCAGACAGAUGGGGCCUACCAGCCUACUUGUUUUUUCUGCCACAUGUGCCACAACUGGUAGGCCGAUCAGAAUCAAAGGCAGAGCCCUGAAAUUCAGAUUUUGUUUCCUGAACCAUAUUUACCUCUCAGGCUUCUGCCAGGUCUUUACAUUUUAUAAGGCAAAAAUUGAAAGUUUCUGGCACACUCAGACAUGGGACCAGAAGACAAUAAAGCUAUUCAUCACUUUUGGCAUGAAUCUGUCUGUUCUUAGAAGAAUCUUAAAUUGUCAUUGACUUUAAGACAUUUUCAGCUUAAAAACCCUACAUCUAUGUAAGUCCAUGUGUUCUUUGUGUACUUUUGUGUUCUAUUCCAAACUCAGCCACAAAAGUAAACUUUUGGUAAAAAUGGUUCAGGUUCAGCAAAAUACCAAAUAGGAUUUGCCAAAAGUUAUUCUCCCUUAUAUUUUAAACCGCUGUGCAUUGUGGGGAAAACACAAUCCACUUGUCUCUAAUUCAUUUAUACUUAAUAAAGUAGAAAGUAAUAAAGUGAAAUAUUUUAUUAGUUGUCCACUGUCCGAACGGCCUUUUGAGAUUCUUGUAUAGUUUUCUUUUCUCUUGUCUUCCCUGUCUACGCUGACCUCAACUAAAAGACAUUUUCUAACUAGUGAUGCUUAAAUAGUAAAAGACUCCUUUCACUUUGAAACCUAGUAAAAUAUGCACCCUUGUUUCUCAUUUUUUAUCAAAGUAUUUAUGACCUGAUCAUUUGAAUGUAAUUUUCAAACACUUAACAAAGAUCUUACUGAAUUGUAUGGUUUUCUUUUGACGUUAAAACAGGGAGAAAAAGAACUCUAAGUAUGUUAAAACACUUCCAAGUUUUCCAGUUUGUUUCAGAAGAAAGGUUAAAUAAUUGCUAUCUUGUUCUUUUCACUAUUUGAUCCUACUUUAGAUAAUUUAAUAUAAAUGAACAUUUUAAGUUAAAACAUUUUUUGGAAGCAGCAUCCAAACCAUGAUGUGUCUUUUCCCGUAUCAAAUAUUCAUAUAUGUGAUUUGAUAUGGAAGAGUUGGCUUUUCCUGACCACUCCUCCCACCACAAUCAAACACACCCAAUCCCUAUUAUCCAUAUCUGAUUUCCUUUUGAAAAUAAUGUAAUACAUCUGCUGUAAUCCUGGGGAGAUGUGGGGGAGACGUAAAUUCUGAUAAAAGUCAGACAUGUUGAUGACAGUCUGCAGCCCGAUACACUUG